GCUGGGGUAGCUCAGUCGGUAGAGCACUUCCCUGAAGAGGAAGGGGUCGUCGGUUCGAUUCCGACCCCCAGCACCA
rnacentral:tRNA from 2 species